rnacentral:rRNA from 1 species
GUCCACGCCGUAAACGAUGGAUACUAGCUGUUGGGAGCAAUCUCAGUGGCUAAGCGAAAGUGAUAAGUAUCCCACCUGGGGAGUACGUUCGCAAGAAUGAAACUCAAAGGAAUUGACGGGGGCCCGCACAAGCGGUGGAGCAUGUGGUUUAAUUCGAUGAUACGCGAGGAACCUUACCAAGGCUUAAAUGUAGAUUGACCGGUUUGGAAACAGACUUUUCGCAAGACAAUUUACAAGGUGCUGCAUGGUUGUCGU